CGCGACUCGACAAGGCACCGAAAAAGCUGAGGGCUUGAAAUUGUCGCAAGUCUCGCGUUUUAAACAUUUAUCCUGACGUUCUCCCCCAAAAUCCCACCUUCCAUCUCUCUUUCCCGUUCUUUACUGCUUCAUCUUCUAGCCACCUCUCUUCAUCGACGCCCAUCUUCACUGACACCACUUUCGCCGCCGUUCGUGUUCGCCGCCGCCGCCCCCACCCAGUUAAUGGCAGCUCCGACGAUGACAAUGUGUGAUUAGCUGUCUUCCCUGUACAGAAUUCUGAAAGCUCGGAAGCAACAUUGCAUAAAACUCAAAGGAGAUUUGUAGGUAGUUUUUAAUGUUCCUAGAAAAGACAUGCAACAUCUACUCCUUAUGAAUCCAGAAAGAGCCACUCUUUUACAACAACAAGCAUCAAUAAAUAAAUAAAAUAAAAUAAAAAUAAUCUUCGACUCAUGUAACGUGUACUAUGUAGUAGUGAUUGAGAUAUGCAUAUAUAACGAAUUUGUGUUCUAGAAUGAGAUGAUAAUGAUAUAUUCUUUAAACUGUGUUCGUAACAUUUUCAAUUUUCAAUUUUCAAUUUUAAAAUCUUGAUUUCAUGUGUU